GUGGGCUACGGGGACAUGAAGCCCAUCACGGUGGGGGGCAAGAUCGUGGGGUCCCUGUGUGCCAUUGCGGGGGUCUUAACCAUCGCGUUGCCCGUACCAGUGAUCGUCUCCAAC
rfam:Fukomys damarensis contig123699, whole genome shotgun sequence.